GGAAUCCUGGCCAUCCCCCUCAGCAGCAGCGAACUUCUUAGGCUCUAGGGCUCUGACCUGGACUCCAAGAUAAAUAUUUAAUGUAGAAGGUGCUGCUGAGCUGCCAAUGGUCCGAGCUUCCUGUUUCUCACAAGAGGAGACCGGAUGGGAGUAGGCAAGGACAGGCAGACUGCUCCAGAGGGGACCACGCGCGGAACCCAGCAGUGAGGGCCUGGGGCCAGGUCACCGUGGUUAUGCUAGCACAGAGCUGGACUCGGUUUCACCCCUGGGGCCAUCUCCCGACUCCAGCUCCUGCUGUGCUGCCAACAUUGGAUGAUGAACUGUCUCCACUGCAUCGGCAUUAAGACUUAAUUUAUCCUGAAGUGACCAACCCACUGUCAAGUAAGCAGAUUUUUAAUAGAAUCUUAAGAGUUGUGACCUUUAAAAAAAGCAAAGAAGGAAGGAAGGAAGGAAGGAAAGGAGGA